rnacentral:rRNA from 1 species
AUGGUGGCGGCGACGAUCACGAAGACGGCCCGUGGAACGCACGUCCUGGACAUCCACGGCUUCAGCGGUCUGAGGAAGAAACAAUGUGACGUAGAUGGCUUUCUGUACUCGCCGACCUUCACCGUCAGCGGCCUCGACUGGGCCGUCCGCUACUACCCCGACGGCGAUAACCACCAUGCCGGCGGCAAUUCGGAGUCGUCGGACCACGUUGCCGCCUUCGUCGAGCUGGUGACCGAGGGCGCUGCGGCCUGGGCGCGCGUCGGGUUCGGGCUGGUCGACCAGACCACCGGCGAGACGGUGCCGUUGUUCCGCGAGAAGGACCCGAUCCUGUUCGACGCCAGCAGCGAGGACACGUGCACCUGGGGCACCGGCGAGCUUGUCAGGAGGAGCCACCUCCAUGCCGGCUCGCGGUACGUCCUCGGUGACCGCCUCAAGAUCGAGUGCGCCAUCGACGUCUGCAGCGACCUCCUCACUUUCGACGACCCGCCACCGUCCUCCGGCCUGCCGCUCUUCCAGCAAGCCGGCUACGGCAAGCAGGAACCGGACGUGAUCAUCGAAGUCGCAGGAGAGACGAUCGCCGCGCACUACUGCAUCCUCGACGCCCGGGCGCCGGGCUUUCUCAAGCGCCACAUCCACACGGCGACGACGCGCAGCGACAGGAAGGUACAGAUCUCCGUGGACGGCGGAGGCAUGCCGGCACAGUCGUUCAAGGCGCUGGUCGACUUCGCCUACACGGACGCGCUGCCGGUCGUGGGUGGCCUUAAUGGCGCCGGCCACAAGGCGAUGAUCCGGCACCUCCUUAUCGCCGCCGAGCGGUACGGCAUGGGCAGGCUGAGGGCGAUCUGCGAGCGUGUCCUGUGCAAGAGCCUCGACGCCGAGACCGUGGCAGCCACGCUGGACAUGGCUGACCGACACGGCUUCAAGAAGCUGAGUGAAGCUUGCGCCGAGUUCAUGGCUUGUCCCUGA